rfam:Schistosoma rodhaini strain Burundi genome assembly, scaffold: SROB_scaffold0013035
GCACUGCUGAGGAGUCCUACGAUAGGUCGAAACGGCCGUCCAGUGC